CAGUCACACCAUCCUGCACACACCUGAUUUCAGAAGCUAAACUGGGUUGGGCCUGGUCAGGACUUGGAUGGGAAGAAGACCACUUAAUUCUCAGUCUAUAGCCCAGGCUGAAUUUCUGU
rnacentral:rRNA from 1 species